CUGGCUCAGGACGAACGCUGGCGGCGUGCCUAAUACAUGCAAGUCGUACGCUUCUUUUUCCACCGGAGCUUGCUCCACCGGAAAAAGAAGAGUGGCGAACGGGUGAGUAACACGUGGGUAACCUGCCCAUCAGAAGGGGAUAACACUUGGAAACAGGUGCUAAUACCGUAUAACAAUCGAAACCGCAUGGUUUUGAUUUGAAAGGCGCUUUCGGGUGUCGCUGAUGGAUGGACCCGCGGUGCAUUAGCUAGUUGGUGAGGUAACGGCUCACCAAGGCCACGAUGCAUAGCCGACCUGAGAGGGUGAUCGGCCACAUUGGGACUGAGACACGGCCCAAACUCCUACGGGAGGCAGCAGUAGGGAAUCUUCGGCAAUGGACGAAAGUCUGACCGAGCAACGCCGCGUGAGUGAAGAAGGUUUUCGGAUCGUAAAACUCUGUUGUUAGAGAAGAACAAGGAUGAGAG
rnacentral:rRNA from 1 species